rnacentral:rRNA from 1 species
CGGAGGGGGCCAGCGUUGUUCGGAAUUAUUGGGCGUAAAGGGCGCGUAGGCGGCCGGAUAAGUCUGACGUGAAAUCCCUCGGCCCAACCGGGGAACUGCGUUUGAAACUGUUCGGCUCGAGUCCGGGAGAGGGUAGUGGAAUUCCCAGUGUAGCGGUGAAAUGCGUAGAUAUUGGGAGGAACACCGGUGGCGAAGGCGGCUACCUGGACCGGUACUGACGCUGAUGCGCGAAAGCUGGGGUAGCAAACAGGAUUAGAUACCCUGGUAGUCCCAGCUGUAAACGAUGGGUGCUUGGUGUAGCGGGUAUCGACCCCUGCUGUGCCGAAGCUAACGCAUUAAGCACCCCGCCUGGGGAGUACGGUCGCAAGGCUG